GUGCAGCAGUCGAGAAUAUUCCACAAUGGGCGAAAGCCUGAUGGAGCGACACCGCAUGCGAGAUGAAGGCCCUAGGGUCGUAAAUCGCUUUUAUUAGGGAUCAAUGUACUGAGCGUACCUAAUGAAUAAGAGGUUACUAACUCUGUGCCAGCAGUAGCGGUAAUACAGAGACCUCAAGCGUUAUCCGGAUUUAUUGGGCGUAAAGCGUAUGUAGGCGGGUGUGUUAGUCGUGGGUCAAAUUUCAGAGCUCAACUCUGAAGCUGCUUACGAAACGGCACAUCUAGAG
rnacentral:rRNA from 1 species